rnacentral:rRNA from 1 species
CCUACGGGUGGCUGCAGUGAGGAAUAUUGGUCAAUGGCCGAGAGGCUGAACCAGCCAAGUCGCGUGAAGGAUGACGGCCCUACGGGUUGUAAACUUCUUUUGUCAAGGAACAAAGUGAGCCACGUGUGGCUUUUUGUGUGUACUUUAAGAAAAAGCAUCGGCUAACUCCGUGCCAGCAGCCGCGGUAAUACGGGGGAUGCGAGCGUUAUCCGGAUUUAUUGGGUUUAAAGGGUGCGCAGGAGGGGUGUUACGUCAGUGGGAAAAUUGCGGGGCUCAACCCCGUAUUGCCAUUGAAACUGGGUGCCUUGAGUGCGCGAGAGGUAUGCGGAAUGCGUGGUGUAGCGGUGAAAUGCAUAGAUAUCACGCAGAACUCCGAUUGCGAAGGCAGCAUAC